UAAUACGGAGGGUGCAAGCGUUAUCCGGAUUCACUGGGUUUAAAGGGUGCGUAGGUGGGUCUGUAAGUCAGUGGUGAAAUCUCCGAGCUUAACUCGGAAACUGCCAUUGAUACUAUAGGUCUUGAAUUUUCUGGAGGUAAGCGGAAUAUGUCAUGUAGCGGUGAAAUGCUUAGAUAUGACAUAGAACACCCAUUGCGAAGGCAGCUUACUACGGGAUAAUUGACACUGAGGCACGAAAGCGUGGGGAUCAAACAGGAUUAGAUACCCUGGUAGUCCACGCCCUAAACGAUGGAUACUCGACAUCAGCGAUACACUGUUGGUGUCUGAGCGAAAGCAUUAAGUAUCCCACCUGGGAAGUACGACCGCAAGGUUG
rnacentral:rRNA from 1 species